UGGUGCAAAAGUAAUCACGGUUUUUGCCAUUACUUUUAAUGGCAAAAACCGUGAUUACUUUUGCACCAACCUAAUAAC
rnacentral:miRNA from 1 species